rnacentral:rRNA from 1 species
CAGUCGCCGCGGGAACACGUAGGUGGCAAGCGUUGUCCGGAAUUAUUGGGCGUAAGGGGCUCGCAGGCGGUUUCUUAAGUCUGAUGUGAAAGCCCCCGGCUCAACCGGGGAGGGUCAUUGGAAACUGGGAAACUUGAGUGCAGAAGAGGAGAGUGGAAUUCCACGUGUAGCGGUGAAAUGCGUAGAGAUGUGGAGGAACACCAGUGGCGAAGGCGACUCUCUGGUCUGUAACUGACGCUGAGGAGCGAAAGCGUGGGGAGCGAACAGGAUUAGAUACCCGUGUAGUCCCUGUCUCUUAUAC